UACGUAGGGGGCUAGCGUUGUCCGGAAUCAUUGGGCGUAAAGAGCGUGUAGGCGGAUCUGCAAGUCGGGGGUGAAAUCCCGAGGCUCAACCUCGGAACUGCCUUCGAUACUGCGGGUCUCGAGUCCGGGAGAGGUGAGUGGAAUUCCUAGUGUAGAGGUGAAAUUCGUAGAUAUUAGGAAGAACACCAGUGGCGAAGGCGGCUCACUGGCCCGGUACUGACGCUGAGGCGCGAAAGCGUGGGGAGCAAACAGG
rnacentral:rRNA from 1 species